CAGAGGGUGCAAACGUUGUUCGGAAUUACUGGGCGUAAAGCGCGUGUAGGCGGCGACGCAAGUCGGAUGUGAAAGCCCAUGGCUCAACCAUGGAAGUGCACCCGAAACUGCGUCGCUAGAGUCUCGGAGAGGAAGGUGGAAUGCUUGGUGUAGAGGUGAAAUUCGUAGAUAUCAAGCGGAACACCGGUGGCGAAGGCGGCCUUCUGGACGAGUACUGACGCUGAGACGCGAAAGCGUGGGUAGCAAACAGGAUUAGAUACCCUGGUAGUCCACGCCGUAAACGAUGAGUGCUAGGUGUCAGAGGCUUUGACCCUUCUGGUGCCGAAGCUAACGCGUUAAGCACUCCGCCUGGGGAGUACGGCCGCAAGGCUA
rnacentral:rRNA from 1 species